rnacentral:rRNA from 1 species
AUUGAACGCUGGCGGCAUGCCUUACACAUGCAAGUCGAACGGUAACGCGGGGCAACCUGGCGACGAGUGGCGAACGGGUGAGUAAUGCAUCGGAACGUGCCUGGUAGUGGGGGAUAACUGCUCGAAAGAGCAGCUAAUACCGCAUACGACCUGAGGGUGAAAGGGGGGGAUCGCAAGACCUCUCGCUAUCAGAGCGGCCGAUGUCGGAUUAGCUAGUUGGUGGGGUAAAGGCCCACCAAGGCGACGAUCCGUAGCUGGUCUGAGAGGACGACCAGCCACACUGGGACUGAGACACGGCCCAGACUCCUACGGGAGGCAGCAGUGGGGAAUUUUGGACAAUGGACGCAAGUCUGAUCCAGCCAUGCCGCGUGCGGGAAGAAGGCCUUCGGGUUGUAAACCGCUUUUGUCAGGGAAGAAAUCUUCUGGGUUAAUACCUCAGGAGGAUGGCGGUACCUGAAGAAUAAGCACCGGCUAACUACGUGCCAGCCGCCGCCGUAA